rnacentral:rRNA from 1 species
CCUACGGGAGGCAGCAGUGGGGAAUAUUGCACAAUGGGGGAAACCCUGAUGCAGCGACGCCGCGUGAGUGAAGAAGUACCUCGGUACGUAAAGCUCUAUCAGCAGGGAAGAAAAUGACGGUACCUGACUAAGAAGGCCCGGCCAACUACGGGCCAGCAGGCGCGGUAAAACGGAGGGGGCAAGCGUGCUCCGGAUUUACUGGGGGGAAAGGGAGCGUAGGUGGCAGCGCAAGUCAGGAGUGAAAGCCCGGGGCUUAACCCCGGGACUGCUGUGGAAACUGUGCGGCUGGAGUGCAGGAGGGGUAUGCGGAAUUCCUGGUGUAGCGGUGAAAUGCGUAGAUAUUAGGAGGAACACCGGUGGCGAAGGCGGCUUACUGGACUGUAACUGACGUUGAGGCUCGAAAGCGUGGGGAGCAAACAGGAUUAGAUACCCGUGUAGUC